rnacentral:rRNA from 1 species
GAUGAACGCUGGCGGCGUGCCUAAUACAUGCAAGUCGAGCGAACGGACGAGAAGCUUGCUUUUCUGAUGUUAGCGGCGGACGGGUGAGUAACACGUGGAUAACCUACCUAUAAGACUGGGAUAACUUCGGGAAACCGGAGCUAAUACCGGAUAAUAUUUUGAACCGCAUGGUUCAAAAGUGAAAGACGGUCUUGCUGUCACUUAUAGAUGGAUCCGCGCUGCAUUAGCUAGUUGGUAAGGUAACGGCUUACCAAGGCAACGAUGCAUAGCCGACCUGAGAGGGCGAUCGGCCACACUGGAACUGAGACACGGUCCAGACUCCUACGGGAGGCAGCAGUAGGGAAUCUUCCGCAAUGGGCGAAAGCCUGACGGAGCAACGCCGCGUGAGUGAUGAAGGUCUUCGGAUCGUAAAACUCUGUUAUUAGGGAAGAACAUAUGUGUAAGUAACUGUGCACAUCUUGACGGUACCUAAUCAGAAAGCCACGGCUAACUACGUGCCAGCAGCCGCGGUAAUACGUAGGUGGCAAGCGUUAUCCGGAAUUAUUGGGCGUAAAGCGCGCGUAGGCGGUUUUUUAAGUCUGAUGUGAAAGCCCACGGCUCAACCGUGGAGGGUCAUUGGAAACUGGAAAACUUGAGUGCAGAAGAGGAAAGUGGAGUUCCAUGUGUAGCGGUGAAAUGCGCAGAGAUAUGGAGGAACACCAGUGGCGAAGGCGACUUUCUGGUCUGUAACUGACGCUGAUGUGCGAAAGCGUGGGGAUCAAACAGGAUUAGAUACCCUGGUAGUCCACGCCGUAAACGAUGAGUGCUAAGUGUUAGGGGGUUUCCGCCCCUUAGUGCUGCAGCUAACGCAUUAAGCACUCCGCCUGGGGAGUACGACCGCAAGGUUGAAACUCAAAGGAAUUGACGGGGACCCGCACAAGCGGUGGAGCAUGUGGUUUAAUUCGAAGCAACGCGAAGAACCUUACCAAAUCUUGACAUCCUUUGACAACUCUAGAGAUAGAGCCUUCCCCUUCGGGGGACAAAGUGACAGGUGGUGCAUGGUUGUCGUCAGCUCGUGUCGUGAGAUGUUGGGUUAAGUCCCGCAACGAGCGCAACCCUUAAGCUUAGUUGCCAUCAUUAAGUUGGGCACUCUAAGUUGACUGCCGGUGACAAACCGGAGGAAGGUGGGGAUGACGUCAAAUCAUCAUGCCCCUUAUGAUUUGGGCUACACACGUGCUACAAUGGACAAUACAGAGGGCAGCGAAACCGCGAGGUCAAGCAAAUCCCAUAAAGUUGUUCUCAGUUCGGAUUGUAGUCUGCAACUCGACUACAUGAAGCUGGAAUCGCUAGUAAUCGUAGAUCAGCAUGCUACGGUGAAUACGUUCCCGGGUCU